rnacentral:rRNA from 1 species
UACGGGGGGAGCAAGCGUUGUUCGGAUUUACUGGGCGUAAAGGGCGCGUAGGCGGCCAGCACAAGUCAGCUGUGAAAUCUCCGGGCUUAACUCGGAAAGGUCAACUGAUACUGUGCGGCUAGAGUGCAGAAGGGGCAACUGGAAUUCUCGGUGUAGCGGUGAAAUGCGUAGAUAUCGAGAGGAACACCUGCGGCGAAGGCGGGUUGCUGGGCUGACACUGACGCUGAUGCGCGAAAGCGUGGGGAGCGAACAGG